rnacentral:lncRNA from 1 species
AUGAAUAGUCCGUGGCGAGGUCUUAGGAAGGAGAAGGGGCGUUGGAGGGGCCGCAACUUGGCCUGCACCGUCUGCAGGAAACUCCCUUUGGACUUUAAGGCUCAAAGUCAGAAAAUGAGAUCCAAGACUUCUUUGGUGAUGAGGAAACGAAUACGGCUUUACCGAAACGCCCUGAAAGAGUCGAGUAGCAGUUCCGGACACCAUGGCCCCCAGCUCGCUGCCGCCUCCAGCCCCUCGAUGUUCCCGGGCCUUCACGAGCAGCCUCCCCAGGCCUCCCCUAGCGGCGCUCUGAAUGGACUCCUGCGUCUGGGGCUCCCCGGAGACAUGUACGCGCGACCUGAACCCUUCCCGCCGGGACCUGUGUCCCGCAGCGACGCCCUGGCAGCUGCCGCAGCCCUGCACAGCUACGGGGGCAUGAACCUGACCAUGAACCUCGCCGCGCCGCACGGUCCCGGCGCCUUCUUCCGCUACAUGCGCCAGCCCAUCAAACAGGAGCUCAUCUGCAAGUGGCUGGCGGCCGACGGCCCCAUGCCCCCGCGCCUUUGCUCCAAAACUUUCAGCACCAUGCACGAGUUGGUCACGCACGUCACCGUGGAGCACGUCGGAGGCCCUGAGCAGGCCAACCACAUCUGCUUCUGGGAGGAGUGUCCGCGCCAGGGCAAGCCCUUUAAAGCCAAAUACAAACUUGUAAAUCACAUCCGCGUGCACACGGGCGAGAAGCCCUUCCCCUGUCCUUUCCCGGGGUGUGGGAAAGUCUUUGCUAGAUCAGAAAAUCUCAAAAUACACAAAAGAACUCACACAGGGGAGAAGCCCUUCAGGUGCGAGUUCGAGGGCUGCGAACGGCGCUUUGCCAACAGCAGCGACCGCAAGAAGCACUCGCACGUUCACACGAGUGACAAGCCCUACACGUGCAAAGUGCGCGGCUGCGACAAGUGCUACACGCACCCCAGCUCGCUGCGCAAGCACAUGAAAGUGCACGGGCGCUCGCCGCCGCCGCCCAGCUCUGGCUACGACUCGGCCACGCCGUCUGCCCUCGUGUCGCCCUCGUCGGACUUCGGUCGCGAGCCCCCGGCGGCCUCCUCGGCGGCGGUGGCGGCGCGGGGCGCCGACCUGAGCGAAUGA